CUCCUCCUUUACUGUGUUGAUUCCCUUUAUGUAACAUUUAAAUACAUAAAGGGAAUCAACACAGUAAAGGAGGAGACUAU